GCGAAAGAAGAUAAGAGCGAACGGAGGAUGCCUAGGCUAUCCGGAGGCGAGGAAGGUCGUGGUAAGCUGCGAUAAGGCUCGGGGAUCUGCAAACAGGAAUUGAUCCGAGCAUCACCGAAUGGGGGAACCCGGCUGGUUGAAGACCAGUCACCGUAUGUGAAUACGGAGCGAACCCGGGGAACUGAAACAUCUUAGUACCCGGAGGAAGAGAAAGAAAAGUCGAUACCCUGAGUAGUGGCGAGCGAAAGGGGCAGAGCCUAAACCGUGGUGUUUACGGACAUCGCGGGGUUGUAGGAGUAACGAUAAAGAUAUGCUAAUGAACCAGAACGCUGUGGAAACAGUGACCGUAGAGGGUGACAGUCCCGUACGGGCAAGUUGAGCAUAUCGAAGUUACCACCUGAGUAGGGCGGGGCACGUGGAAUCCUGUCCGAAUCUGCGGGGACCAUCCCGCAAGGCUAAACACUCCCGGAAGACCGAUAGUGGACCAGUACCGUGAGGGAAAGGUGGGAAGCACCCCGAACAGGGGAGUGAAACAGAACCUGAAACCGUUCGUUUACAAGCGGUCGGAGUCUCUUUAUAAGGGACGACGGCGUGCCUUUUGCAUAAUGAGCCUACGAGUUGCUUCUGUCCGGCGAGGUUAAGCACUUCAGGUGCGUGAGCCGAAGCGAGAGCGAGUCUGAACAGGGCGUUCAGUCGGACGGAGCAGACGCGAAACCUAGUGAUCU
rnacentral:rRNA from 1 species